rnacentral:rRNA from 1 species
AAUGAACGCUGGCGGCGCGCCUAAUACAUGCAAGUCGAGCGAGAAGACGUAGCAAUACGUUUGUAAAGCGGCGAACGGGUGAGGAAUACAUGGGUAACCUACCCUCGAGUGGGAAUAACUAGCCGAAAGGUUAGCUAAUACCGCGUACGCUCCUUGGACUUCGGUUCAGGGAGGAAAGCGAUACCGUGGGUAUCGCGCUCUUGGUUGGGCUCAUGUCCUAUCAGCUUGUUGGUGAGGAACGGCUCACCAAGGCUUCGACGGGUAGCUGGUCUGAGAGGACGAUCAGCCACACUGGCACUGCGACACGGGCCAGACUCCUACGGGAGGCAGCAGUAAGGAAUAUUGCGCAAUGGGCGAAAGCCUGACGCAGCGACGCCGCGUGGGGGAU